rnacentral:tRNA from 1 species
ACUUAAAUAGUUUAAUUAAAACAUUGAUUUGUGGUGUCAAAAAUGUAGGAAUACUUUAGGUA